AGUCGAACGAUGAACCACUUCGGUGGGGAUUAGUGGCGAACGGGUGAGUAACACGUGGGCAAUCUGCCCUGCACUCUGGGACAAGCCCUGGAAACGGGGUCUAAUACCGGAUACUGACCCUCACGGGCAUCUGUGAGGUUCGAAAGCUCCGGCGGUGCAGGAUGAGCCCGCGGCCUAUCAGCUUGUUGGUGAGGUAAUGGCUCACCAAGGCGACGACGGGUAGCCGGCCUGAGAGGGCGACCGGCCACACUGGGACUGAGACACGGCCCAGACUCCUACGGGAGGCAGCAGUGGGGAAUAUUGCACAAUGGGCGAAAGCCUGAUGCAGCGACGCCGCGUGAGGGAUGACGGCCUUCGGGUUGUAAACCUCUUUCAGCAGGGAAGAAGCGAAAGUGACGGUACCUGCAGAAGAAGCGCCGGCUAACUACGUGCCAGCAGCCGCGGUAAUACGUAGGGCGCGAGCGUUGUCCGGAAUUAUUGGGCGUAAAGAGCUCGUAGGCGGCUUGUCACGUCGGUUGUGAAAGCCCGGGGCUUAACCCCGGGUCUGCAGUCGAUACGGGCAGGCUAGAGUUCGGUAGGGGAGAUCGGAAUUCCUGGUGUAGCGGUGAAAUGCGCAGAUAUCAGGAGGAACACCGGUGGCGAAGGCGGAUCUCUGGGCCGAUACUGACGCUGAGGAGCGAAAGCGUGGGGAGCGAACAGGAUUAGAUACCCUGGUAGUCCACGCCGUAAACGGUGGGCACUAGGUGUGGGC
rnacentral:rRNA from 1 species